UAGGGAAUCUUCCACAAUGGACGAAAGUCUGAUGGAGCAACGCCGCGUGAGUGAAGAAGGUUUUCGGAUCGUAAAGCUCUGUUGUUGGUGAAGAAGGAUAGAGGCAGUAACUGGUCUUUAUUUGACGGUAAUCAACCAGAAAGUCACGGCUAACUACGUGCCAGCAGCCGCGGUAAUACGUAGGUGGCAAGCGUUGUCCGGAUUUAUUGGGCGUAAAGCGAGCGCAGGCGGAAUGAUAAGUCUGAUGUGAAAGCCCACGGCUCAACCGUGGAACUGCAUCGGAAACUGUCAUUCUUGAGUGCAGAAGAGGAGAGUGGAACUCCAUGUGUAGCGGUGGAAUGCGUAGAUAUAUGGAAGAACACCAGUGGCGAAGGCGGCUCUCUGGUCUGCAACUGACGCUGAGGCUCGAAAGCAUGGGUAGCGAACAGGAUUAGAUACCCUGGUAGUCCAUGCCGUAAACGAUGAGCGCUAGGUGUUGGGGANUUUCCGGUCCUCAGUGCCGCA
rnacentral:rRNA from 1 species